rnacentral:rRNA from 1 species
GACGAACCGAGCGAACGUUGUUCGGAAUCACUGGGCUUAAAGGGCGCGUAGGCGGGCCGGCGAGUCCGGGGUGAAAUCCCCCCGCUUAACGGGGGAACGGCCCCGGGUACUGCCGGCCUGGAGGGGGGUAGGGGCGUGCGGAACUAUGGGUGGAGCGGUGAAAUGCGUUGAUAUCCAUAGGAACUCCGGUGGCGAAGGCGGCACGCUGGGCCCUUUCUGACGCUGAGGCGCGAAAGCCAGGGGAGCGAACGGG